rnacentral:rRNA from 1 species
UACGUAGGGUGCAAGCGUUGUCCGGAAUUAUUGGGCGUAAAGCGCGUGUAGGCGGCUUUGCAAGUCGGGUGUGAAAGCCCUCAGCUCAACUGAGGAAGUGCGCCCGAAACUGCAGAGCUUGAGUACCGGAGAGGGUGGCGGAAUUCCCCAAGUAGAGGUGAAAUUCGUAGAUAUGGGGAGGAACACCGGUGGCGAAGGCGGCCACCUGGACGGUCACUGACGCUGAGACGCGAAAGCGUGGGGAGCAAACAGG